GACGAACGCUGGCGGCGUGCUUAACACAUGCAAGUCGAACGGAAAGGCCCUGCUUGCAGGGUACUCGAGUGGCGAACGGGUGAGUAACACGUGGGUGAUCUGCCCUGCACUUCGGGAUAAGCCUGGGAAACUGGGUCUAAUACCGGAUAGGAGCCAUUUUUAGUGUGAUGGUUGGAAAGUUUUUUCGGUGUAGGAUGAGCUCGCGGCCUAUCAGCUUGUUGGUGGGGUAAUGGCCUACCAAGGCGGCGACGGGUAGCCGGCCUGAGAGGGUGGACGGCCACAUUGGGACUGAGAUACGGCCCAGACUCCUACGGGAGGCAGCAGUGGGGAAUAUUGCACAAGGGGCGCAAGCCUGAUGCAGCGACGCCGCGGGGGGGAUGACGGCCUUCGGGUUGUAAACUCCUUUCGCUAGGGACGAAGCUUUUUGUGACGGUACCUAGAUAAGAAGCACCGGCUAACUACGUG
rnacentral:rRNA from 1 species